AGCAGUCGCGCGGGAAUACGAAGGGUGCAAGCGUUACUCGGAAUUACUGGGCGUAAAGCGUGCGUAGGUGGUGGUUUAAGUCCGUUGUGAAAGCCCUGGGCUCAACCUGGGAAUUGCAGUGGAUACUGGGUCACUAGAGUGUGGUAGAGGAUAGUGGAAUUUCCGGUGUAGCAGUGAAAUGCGUAGAGAUCGGAAGGAACAUCUGUGGCGAAGGCGACUAUCUGGGCCAACACUGACACUGAGGCACGAAAGCGUGGGGAGCAAACAGGAUUAGAUACCCGUGUAGUCCCUGUCUCUUAUACA
rnacentral:rRNA from 1 species